UACGAAGGGGGGCUAGCGUUACUCGGAAUUACUGGGCGUAAAGGGCGCGUAGGCGGCGCUCCAAGUUAGGCGUGAAAGUCCUGGGCUCAACCUGGGAACUGCGCUUAAGACUGGAGUGCUUGAGGAUGGAAGAGGGUCGUGGAAUUCCCAGUGUAGAGGUGAAAUUCGUAGAUAUUGGGAAGAACACCGGUGGCGAAGGCGGCGACCUGGUCCAUUACUGACGCUGAGGCGCGACAGCGUGGGGAGCAAACAGG
rnacentral:rRNA from 1 species